GCUCCCCUGGCACAACUUAUUGAUGUAGAGCAGCGCCUUGUUCUCCCCGCACUCCACCUCGAUGCAAGGCUCUCCGUUGUCAAAGAAAGGCUGGAAAUCCGGGAUGGAGGAAAACCUCUCCAGCAUCAGCCGCAAGGAUUAUUCUUUCUUCUUCCACCUCCGUUCCUCAUGGCAACUUCACCUCCAAGUGUAGAGAGAGCCUGGCCGCAGCCUUCUCCAAAGACAAGUCUCCAUGCUUCCUCCAGGAGGGGUCACAGGAGAGCAGAACAAGAAUGGCCUUCAUCCUCCAGGAGCAAAUCCUCCUGCGGUACUUACUUCUCGACUUCUCAGAUCUCUGGGGUUUGGAUGCACACUCAAAUCUCCUAACAGCACCUUGCAUUACCAUCCAGUCUGCCCCUGUUAAAUAGUUGUAAUGGAACCUUUCCUAACCCAGAGAACUUUUAUUUACCUUUUAUUUUAAAGGAAAAGGUGACUUGCCAUGGGGUUUUCCCACUACAUGUCAGCUCCAUUGCUUUUUGCUUCUGAAGAAACUGGACCCAGUCAUAAGUGAAGUGAAUACGCUGAGUCUUCAUUCUAGAAAGGCAGCAUCUACUUGGAUAUUUCAUUGCUGGAAAAAACAGGCACUUGAUGAUAGUCAUAACAUAGGUGCACCGGCCAAGCUAUGUGGAGAUCCAACACGGGAAAAGCAAGGCCCCAUGAUGGUGGCUCAACAGGAGGUGCAUGGCUUGGACCAGGCAGGGUUUCCCACACACACAUGAGGUGUUCUGGCAGAACUCAGCGAAGUUUGGGGGGAUUCAAGAGGCACAGAUUCAGGCUGAUCCCAUCAGUCUCUUACAAGCACUAAAAGUUACUAACAAGUCCUCCCUACCCUUCCCCACUGCAAUAAAGAACAAGACUCUGCCUGGAUGCCUGAGUUCGACAGCAGGAGUCUGAAGUUGUUCAGCUCCAGUCUCUUAACAGCGGAGCUUUCAGGAUUAGUGUAAACAGAUUCGCCACUGGAGAGCAGAUCAGACAGAUGUAAGCAAAUCCAUGCACACGUGGUUAGUGAGAGAACUGGGUACGCUUUGCAAGUUCCACACUGAGGAACUGGAACACAUUUUCAAGUCUGAGGGCAUGAAUCGCCGUGUCGUUUUGUUGUGUGUUUCCACGGCACCUAGCAAAGUGAAACCAUGAUUCCAGAACCAGAAUGCUCACAGAGGCACUACCACAGUAAACGCAGUAAAUAGCAAUCAUUUUCCAACAUUUAGUUCUCCACCUCUGGAAUAUGUCAUGUUGGAUUGAAAACCAACCUGGAUCUUUUAUUUCUCUCAGGUCGAAUGUGUCAACAACUGCAAAGAGCUAGCUGGGCUGUAAGGCAUUUUACAAGAAGAGAUGGUGCUUCAAGCACAGGUCUGAAAGUUAAGGAUUUUCCUCCUUAUUCUAUCACCAGUUUCAUGGACAAAUUACUUACCCUGGAUAUGCCUCCAUUAUUGUACCCAUAAAAGGAGGGGAAACUUCCUAAAUGUAAUUUGUUAUUUACAUGUGUGACAGUAAACCUGUGAGUUUCUAACUGAGAUCAAAGGUCCUGUGUGCUAAGUGUUCUAACGACUCAUUGCAGAUGCAGGCCCUGCCCCUUUACAGGAAAGACAGGUUGAGGCUGGGAGGAGAGAGACACUCAGGUACAUGUAAAAUGACCAGCCUGAGUUCACAAACUAAUCCAGAGCUUCUGCCUUCGCAGGAUUCCCGCACAGAUGCCAUACGUGCUGUCUCUGGCACCAUCGUGCCUAAACCAAGCUGAACGAACUGAUAACGGCAUUCUGUCAGCACAGCUGCAUCGAUAGCACUGGCCUUGCCAGCCUCGUCGUAGCAGGUGUAGCCCAGCUCUGUGCUCACUGCAUGUGAACAACCAGCCACGCUGCCGGAGCCAUGCUCAGCGGGAUCGGGAUUGGAGGUAAUAGUAGCCUCAGGCCAGACUGCUUCAUUACGAGAGAUAUUUUGACAGCCCAGCAGCAAGAGCAACAGCAGGGAGGGCACAGGGAACGUGUUUUCUGUUCUCUCUCUGGUCACCUGGCCUGUAGCUCAGAGACCUUUGCGUGCUGCUACGGAUACUGCACAGCAAGAAUCACCCUGCGACUGCUCCAGGAGUGACCAUUUUCCUUUGUGAUGUGCCGUCAGAGGACAUGGCACUGGAAAACCUAUCAAAUGAUAGAUGGACUGAUUCAUUUCUCUUCCUUACUGGUUGAAGUUCAGACAUGGAUGUAGUGCAGGCAAUGCCCUAGUAAUGAUGGACUGGCAAACAUCACCUCUCCACUAAUAUAACCGCACCUCACUACAGCACUGUGCAAAUUCCACUAGGAACGUUGCUAAACAAUUAUAGCUACAGGAACAUGAAGCUCUAUGUAUAGAUAGGCCCUAGCCAGGGCUAUGUCUGUCCUGUAGUUUCAGAUAUGACUGCAGCAAGUGUUCUUCUGCCAUAAUGUUAUUAAAUUAAGACUGGUACUCUGAGAAGACAUCACACAGGAGCUCCAUCAACACAGAUCUACAUUUCUGUAGGGAAUUCUCACUGAAGUUUGCGCUGCUGUGCUUUCUCUGCAGUUUUUUCAUGGACUAUCUAGGUCAGCGCCAGGACAGGAAGGCAGUCAUAACUUCAGUGUCACUGUGACCGGAACUCUUACACGGGCGCUUCUACAUGUAUGCUGUAUUUGAACAAAACAUACCCAAAGACACACCUACGAACAGUCACGGGCACCACCAGAGUCUCCAGUGAACUCACGGAGACAAAAGCACAUAAACAUCUUUGUACUCACUCGCUGCUCACUUGCGCCUCCAUCGUUAUGAAUAAACGCUGGGUCAGGACCACAUGAAGGCUU